GGUGAGGUGUCCGAGUGGCCUAUGGUGUCAGUCUCGAAAACUGAUGGUGCAGCAAUGCAUCCGUGGGUUCAAAUCCCACCCUCACCGCCA
rnacentral:tRNA from 1 species